rnacentral:rRNA from 1 species
UGGGGAAUAUUGGACAAUGGGGGCAACCCUGAUCCAGCAAUGCCGCGUGUGUGAAGAAGGUCUUCGGAUUGUAAAGCACUUUCGACGGGGACGAUGAUGACGGUACCCGUAGAAGAAGCCCCGGCUAACUUCGUGCCAGCAGCCGCGGUAAUACGAAGGGGGCUAGCGUUGCUCGGAAUGACUGGGCGUAAAGGGCGUGUAGGCGGUUUACACAGUCAGAUGUGAAAUCCCCGGGCUUAACCUGGGAGCUGCAUUUGAUACGUGUAGACUAGAGUGUGAGAGAGGGUUGUGGAAUUCCCAGUGUAGAGGUGAAAUUCGUAGAUAUUGGGAAGAACACCGGUGGCGAAGGCGGCAACCUGGCUCAUGACUGACGCUGAGGCGCGAAAGCGUGGGGAGCAAACAGGAUUAGAUACCCUGGUAGUCCACGCUGUAAACGAUGUGUGCUAGAUGUUGGGUAACUUUGUUAUUCAGUGUCGCAGUUAACGCGUUAAAGCACACCGCCUGGGGAGUA